CCAUUAGCUCAGAAGUGCCUAAUUCACAUGGUUUUAAGAGGAAAUGGGGGAAGGCAUUUAGUUUUGAAUAGGAUGCAGAGCUGCACCAUGCAAUUAGCAAAGAAUUUAUCAAGAAGAUGCUCAGAUUUGUAAUGGACUCUUUAAGAAAAUGUUCUGUGAGAUGACUGGCUGAGUCCCUUUUGACCAAAUUAAGAUGCGCUCUGGCAGUGCACUAGCAGCUGUGAGCUGACAUUUUCUUGUGAACCUAGUGAAAAAUGGCUCCAUAUCUCUCCACCCGUCCUGAGGAGAUGGUCUCUUCGAGUUGUCAAGCCUUUCCCCAGCGUGAUUCGCUCCUAUGGCUGAUUUCUGAUAGGGGCGGACUGGCUGUGGUUCCUUUCAGUUUGCCUGCCUUUUUAAAUCUCGCUGUGAAUGGGGAGUGGGUGGUGACCGUCUUACUUCAAAUACAAACUACCCAGCAAGACUAGCAGAAGAUAUUUUUUCCAGCAAUCACAUGUUUCCGUUUUUAAAAGGAGGUAGAUUAUAUUUCUUUGGACACAAUGUACACUUUUUGUUGUUGUGAAGUGGGCUAGUCAACAGCUUCUCUAAGGAAAGACGCUCGCGUGUGUGACACUUUACAUCUGGACUCUCCACAUGGGAAGUGACAGGUAAAGACACCGGGAUACUUGCCUAUCUUCCAUCUCUGGAGAUAUAAAAGCUGCCCUUUUCUUUUUUACUGUUGUUUCCCUGUUUUGAAUCGCGAUCGGUUGUGCACAGAGAAAGAUCAUGUCCUAGACUUGGGAUGCUGGGGGAAGACAUACUCCUGUCCUGUCCUCCGCAUGAGCUUCUGGAGGAAUUCCUGUUCUGAUCAAGCAGCGGAGGUGGAGGUGCUCCAGCAGCCACACUGCCCCUUCAUUUAGGCUCUGGUCUGUGAAUGCUCCAGCCAGCAGAGGCAGGAUGUGCUUAUCAGAGCUGUGUGUUUGAGGAGCUGGUUAAGAGCAUGUGUUGUUUGGGGGUGUGUGUGAAACCGACCGUUCUCUAUUUUAUAGCAUUCAGAGAUGCCUCUACUGAGUAGAGAGUGGGUUCAUGAGGAAAGGAUUGGGCUCUUCAUAUUUUAGACAAGAAGUACAGCACUAUCCACCAGAGAGGACAACAGGAAGAUGCAAAAGAGUACAAUAGUGUGUGCAUUGUGCAGAAAGAAUAUCUAAAUUGUAUGAUAGUUCCCGAAUUCCUAAAAUUUGCAAAAAACCUCAAGGCUUCCUGAAAAAUGCAAUGGAGUCAUCUCUACAUUAUGCCAAAUAAGACUUCUAAUAAGGUAAUCUUGACAGCAUAUGGAAACAGUUUCCUAAGUGCUUUAGGUCAUUAUAUCACUUGCUCCGCUGAAGGGUAUCCUUUCUAGGGCUUACAUCUAGGACUCCUACAUAGGAUAGGAGUCACAGCACUGAUUUUUUUGGGGAGUCUGGAAUAAUUUUGAUAAAGCUAAGAGCUUACAGAGGCAAUGGGAUUCACCUCUUUAGUAGAAUAACAGAAAUGAAACUUUAACACUGCAUGUAGAUGAUUACUGCUUUUAUACCUGUGGACAAUUUGAUGAUGGUACAUAGUGUGCUUUUGGAAAAUUGAUGCAAUUAUGGUUGAACAAUGAAUAUGACAAUAGAUAAUACAAUGAAAAUGCAUCUCAUCAUUCAUAGGAGGAUUACUAGGGUCACUUUUAAAUAUUGUUAAUGACUGCAAUUGAGGAGGUUUUACCUCGAGAAAUUUCAAAUGUCUAGAAUGAAAGAACCGUGUUUGUAAAACUAAGAGCAUAUCUAAUCAGCUGUUAGAGAAGUUGAAUGGCAUUGAUGUUUAAACCAGAUAAUACAUACAUACCAAAGAAUCAUGAACCUUAGGAACUUCCUAUCAAUGUAAUUUUGUUUUCCUUUUUAAAGCAGCAACAUAACUAUAACAUAGAUGCAGUUCAUGAGCAGUGGCCAUCAAGGGAGAAAAAAACCUGGGACUAACAUGAAAAUUUUGCAAUGAGAUGUAUGUGAUGUUUGAGUGAGCCUCAGGAUACCAGUGAGUUCUUAGUGAGAGCUAAAAAAGAAAAAUGUACAUGUUGAAGUAAGUUUCAGUUUGUCUAUAUUCUUAUAGCUUCAAGUUUGGAAAAUAGGAAAUUUCCUGGUUGGCCGUGUGGUGCCUGUAGCAUAGAAAGGAAAAGUUAAGAUGAAGCAAUACCCUAACUGAAUUUUUCUUGAUAUAUUUUUGAACAUAAAGCUUCUCACUUUCUGAGAAUAUCUUAAGUAGUAAUGGCCUGUCACCCUAAAUUCAAUUUCCAGUUUUUAAAAAUCUUUAUUAGACAACAAUGUUAUAUUCAAUAAGUAGAGACAUGACAAAAGUUUCUGAAUUUAAAAUACUCUAAUUUUAUGUUCAAUUUCAGGUAUGUUUCUUCUCUAUCAUAUCUUCAGCCUUUGCUCUAAGUCACACACCUUGUGACAGUCUCGCUUCUAAAGACCUUGGUUGCUUACUGUGAAGAUAGCAGAUUUUUAAUUUAUUGGAAAAAAUAAAAAUGUAUUGCCAUUUGACUGUAUUAGUCAGUACCUUAAAAAAUGUUAGAACCUUGUUAUAAUAUGAAUUACCAGUUCAAAUAAUUCACAGAUAUCAGAGGUUAAAACAAAUACUAUACAUUUCAAGCAUAUCAAAGUAUGUAUAUAGUAUAUAUACGUGUGUGUAUGUAUAUAUACGUAUAUAGUAUAUAUUUUCAUCACAAGGAUGGCUUCCUGUUAAAUAAGCAUAUUUUCCAACAGUGCAUUAUUCUUUUUUUAUUCCAAAGAUUUCCUAUCUGUUCUCUCAAGUCACACAAAACAUACAUCUAAUAUAAUGAAAGUGAUAAUUCAAAAAAUCUCUUACUCAAGGUGUUUGAAAAUUUACUCUUCACUCUGUGAAAGAACAUAGUCAGAAUAGCUUUUUUCCCCCUUUAAACCAGUAAAGAAAAUCAAACUUUGCAGUCUUUAAGGAAACUAACAAUGAUGUGUAUUAUGAAAUAGAAGCUUCAUUGCCAGGCAGUCAGCCAAUGGAGAAGAAGCGAGCUUAAUUGAUAACUCCCUAUUGAAGCAUUGCAGGUCAGGAAGUCCCAUGUUAAUAGGAUCCCAGCUGAGAUUCCAGAGCCAGCCACUCUUCUUGCUCACCUUUCUUUUCCCCCUGGGACUGGUGCUGGAGGAAUAAUACAUUUUAUAAAAAGGGAUAAGCUUUGCUAUUAGACCAUCUCUGACAUAGGUUAGUCCUGUAAGCGUUGCAGGUAUCUUUCAUAUCUUCUCAGCCUGAGGUUUUUCUGACUUUUUCUACCCAGCGACAGAGUCCAGAGGACUUUGGAGGUCACUCAAAGUUUUGUUGGAGUCAGGGAUCUUGCCUGUUACUGCCCACAAAGACAUAAACCCAGCCCAGUAGGAAAAGCAGAGGGGAUGGGAGCCUUCUCUGGCCUAUAGCAGAGAACUGAGUCCUCUGGGUCCUUUCAUUCAAAGGACUGCAAAAGCCUAAAUCUAAAACUAAGAAUUGCUGGCUAAGUGUUGAAGGAUUCUCAGUCUUGGAUUCAUACAACUCUUGAAGAAGAGUUUUUCUUCUUGGAAAGCUUCAUGUUUCCUUCUACCUCAGGGUCUUAGCAUAUGCUGUUUCCUCUCCUAGAACUCUUACUCUGCCCUCUUGCUCUGAUAUUAAAUUGGCUCUCUCUACCAAAUGUUCUCUCAGCUCAUUAUUUUUCUUUGUUACAUGAAAAAGAUUUUCUUAAAUUGCUAAUUGGAUAUUAAUGCCCUUGUGUGAUUAAUGUUUCUUUCUGCCAAGAGUCAGGAGCUUCUAAAGUUAGGGUCCAAAUUCAUUUUGUUCACAAUAGAAUCCCUCAGGCUUCAGAUCAUGUUAACCCACAUGUUAGGUGUGCAUUAAACAUUUGUUAAAUGAUUAAAUUAAUGAAUAAAUGAAUAAUUAGGCACCAGUCGUAGAGGACAGGCAUAGUGUGCUUUGGCUCAACAAGGAACAAUUCUUCUAAUUAUGUUAGAUGGUUUGGAUACCUGACAGGUGAACAAUAUCAGGGUAUUCUCAAGGUCUCCCUUUUGUCAGGAUUUUCUCUCUGAGAAGGUUUGAGUGCUGUUGUGAUAUUUCAAAAAGAACUUUGCUACCCACUUCAAAGUGUUGUAGGGCCAGUCUGAGGUAGAACUGUGGUUUGUUUUUAUCUCUCCAUUACUUCUUCUAAAGCAUCUGUUUUAAAAAAUUUGCUCUCGGGAGUUCCCAUUGUGGCUCAGCAGAAAUGAACUUUACUAGUAUCCAUGAGGAUGUAGGUUCAAACCCUGGCCCCGCUCAGUGGGUUAAAGGAUCCAGCAUUGCCGUGAGCUGUGGUGUAGGUCGCAGGCACAGCUCGGAUCUGGUAUGGCUGUGGCUGUGGCAUAGGUUGGUAGCUGUAGCUUUGAUUCGACCCCUAAUUUGGGAAUUUCCAUAUGCUGCACCUGCAGCCCUAAAAAAAAAAAAAAAAAAAAAAAA
ensembl:lncRNA